GAUGAACGCUGGCGGCGUGCCUAAUACAUGCAAGUCGAGCGAACAGACGAGGUGCUUGCUCCUCUGACGUUAGCGGCGGACGGGUGAGUAACACGUGGAUAACCUACCUAUAAGACUGGGAUAACUUCGGGAAACCGGAGCUAAUACCGGAUAAUAUAUUGAACCGCAUGGUUCAAUAGUGAAAGACGGUUUUGCUGUCACUUAUAGAUGGAUCCGCGCCGCAUUAGCUAGUUGGUAAGGUAACGGCUUACCAAGGCAACGAUGCGUAGCCGACCUGAGAGGGUGAUCGGCCACACUGGAACUGAGACACGGUCCAGACUCCUACGGGAGGCAGCAGUAGGGAAUCUUCCGCAAUGGGCGAAAGCAUGACGGAGCAACGCCGCGUGAGUGAUGAAGGUCUUCGGAUCGUAAAACUCUGUUAUUAGGGAAGAACAAAUGUGUAAGUAACUAUGCACGUCUUGACGGUACCUAAUCAGAAAGCCACGGCUAACUACGUG
rnacentral:rRNA from 1 species